UACGGAGGGUGCAAGCGUUAGUCGGAAUUAUUGGGUUUAAAGGGUGCGUAGGCGGUUGAUUAAGUCAGUUGUGAAAUACGGCAGCUUAACUGUCGAGGUGCAAUUGAUACUGGUUGACUUGAGUACAGACGAGGUAGGCGGAAUUGACGGUGUAGCGGUGAAAUGCUUAGAUAUCGUCAAGAACACCGAUAGCGAAGGCAGCUUACUAGACUGUAACUGACGCUGAGGCACGAAAGUGUGGGGAUCAAACAGG
rnacentral:rRNA from 1 species